CGCCAGACUCCUACGGGAGGCAGCAGUGGGGGAUAUUGCACAAUGGAGGAAACUCUGAUGCAGCGACGCCGCGUGAGGGAAGACGGUUUUCGGAUUGUAAACCUCUUUCUUUGGGGAAGAAAAUGACGGUACCUAAAGAGGAAGCUCCGGCUAACUACGUGCCAGCAGCCGCGGUAAUACGUAGGGAGCGAGCGUUGUUCGGAAUUACUGGGUGUAAAGGGAGCGUAGGCGGGCGAGAAAGUUGAAUGUUAAUUCUGCCGGCUAAACUGAGAGCUGCGUUUAAAACUCCUUGUCUUGAGUGAAGUAGAGGCAGGCGGAAUUCCUGGUGUAGCGGUGAAAUGCGUAGAUAUUAGGAGGAACACCAGUGGCGAAGGCGGCCUGCUGGACCUUAACUGACGCUGAGGCUCGAAAGCGUGGGGAGCAAACAGGAUUAGAUACCCCUGUA
rnacentral:rRNA from 1 species